rnacentral:rRNA from 1 species
UGGGGAAUUCUGCGCAAUGGGGGAAACCCUGACGCAGCAACGCCGCGUGAGUGAUGAAGGCCUUCGGGUCGUAAAGCUCUGUCUGAGGGGAAGAAAUGCAGGGGUGCUAAUAUCAUCUUUGCUUGACGGUACCCUCAAAGGAAGCACCGGCUAACUCCGUGCCAGCAGCCGCGGUAAUACGGAGGGUGCGAGCGUUGUUCGGAAUUAUUGGGCGUAAAGCGCGUGUAGGCGGUUUGAUAAGUCUGAUGUGAAAGCCCCGGGCUCAACCUGGGAAGUGCAUUGGAAACUGUCAGACUUGAAUACGGGAGAGGGUAGUGGAAUUCCUAGUGUAGGAGUGAAAUCCGUAGAUAUUAGGAGGAACACCGGUGGCGAAGGCGGCUACCUGGACCGAUAUUGACGCUGAGACGCGAAAGCGUGGGGAGCAAACAG